rnacentral:rRNA from 1 species
UACGUAGGCAGCAAGCGUUGUUCGGAGUUACUGGGCGUAAAGGGUGCGUAGGCGGUUGUUUAAGUUUGGUGUGAAAUCUCCCCGGCUCAACUGGGAGGGUGCGCCGAAUACUGAAUGACUAGAGUGCGGGAGAGGAUAGUGGAAGUUCCUGGUGUAGCGGUGAAAUGCGUAGAUAUCAGGAGGAACACCGGUGGUGUAGACGGCUAUCUGGACCGUAACUGGACGCUGAGGCACGAAAGCCGUGGGUAGCAAACAGG